UGUGCUUCUUCAGGACCCAGUGAAGAGUCAAAAACCAGAGUCAGACUCGGAGAGACCAUCCUGUCAGUACAACACCUGGACACAGAUUUCGGCAUGUAUACCUGAGUCACAGAGACCCUCACAGGGGACAGAGCUGGUGUUGGAAGUGAAUCCAGAGCUGGAGGCGACCCCCAGGCUCAGACCUGACAGAUAAGCGUGGCGUCGGCCCCCCAGAGAUCUUCACGGAGGACAUGAGAAUCCACCAGGAAAAUGAAUAAUGCAUCUAUCUUGCUCUCUUUUCUGAGCGGAGUCCCUGCAGUAUCCAUGAAAACAGCUACAGCAGUAUAGUGAAGUCAAAUUUGCUGGUAAGCAAG